UUAGGAGGGGAAACUAGGAAAGUCGCUUAGUAACUUCAUUAGCGAAUUUAUACAACCUGUGAUUUUGCUCGAGUGCAAUUUGAAAGCCCCUUUUAGGUACACUCACACCGAACAAAGGCUGGCAUGGUCUGCAGCACACUCUGUGUAGAAUUCCCACCUAAAUGUGUGAGCUAAGACUUAGGGGUCUCUUUAACCCUUUUUUUUCCUUCUUACAGAUCUGUUUCUUCUGUUUGGAGUCUUGUAAAUAAAAUAAAACCGUGUAUUUUCUCUACAUCAGAAUAAGUAAGUUGUUGGCAGUUCUCACAAAUGGAAUCUUUAUAAAAGGCUUUGAACAUAUAAUCACCUUAUCUGUGUGCUCCCCCCCUAGUAUUUUUAAUUGAUAGCAAUUAGAAUAAAAGAACUUUUAAAAUAUAACAUUGUACUUUACCAGUAAUAGAGUAAAUCCCAGGAUAAGUAUUGUUCAAAACAAUUUCAUAACCCUUACAUGAAGUAGUCUAGUAGCAUCCUAUAGAAUAUACUAGAAUAUGUUUGCUGUGGUUUGAAAGUGAAAUACACACAAACACAAACACAGACUCAGAUGUAUAAACACUUGAUCUCUAGGUUACGGCACUGUUUGGGGCAUCUUAUGAAACUUUUUGGAAAUGAGUCCUAUUCAGGGCUGUAGUUACAGGUCUGUUGUGCGCCAAUUCUGGCCAAGAUCGCCAGCAAGCGACCAGUACUACCACCACCAGUGACUAGAGCUACUCCCAGAGGCAUGAAAGCCACCAUGCCUUCUCUACCAUCAAGCUAUGAGACAAAACAAAUCCUUCCUUCCUCGAGUUAAUUCUGCCCAGUGUUCCAUCAUCAUGUAAGAAAAGUAAGCAGUCCAGUGUAAACACCAGACCUCGUGUCUGCUGCGACUUCUCCUGGGCAUUUCUCCUCCAGGCUUCCCACUGUGGUUAUCACUGGCUGUGUUUUAGUUGCCUUUCUAUUGAUAUGCUAAAAACAACAUGGCCAACACAACUUAUAGAGGGAAGAGUCUAUUUGAAGCUUAGGGUUCCAGAGAAAUAUGGUGCCCAUCACUGUCACAGCAGGGAGUGUGGCUGCAGGCAGAUAGGUAUGGUGCUGGAGUGACAGCUGAGAGACCACAUCUAGAUCCACAGACAGAAAGCAGAGGGAGCAGUAGGGAUGGCAGGAAGCUGUUAAAACCUCAAGCUUGCCUGCCCCACCCCACCCCUCAUUGACAUUCCUCAUCGAAGAAGGUCAUACAUACCUCCUAAUCCCUCCCCCCCCCCCCAAACAGCCUAUGAGAUGUCUCCCAUGCGUCUAAGGAAUGAGACCCAUGGGAAACAUCUCAUUCAAACUACCACAGGCUGUCAUAGUCUUUUUGUUGUUUUUGUUUAAUCCCUUGAAACUAUACCAAAUCCUAAUUGUUUACAUUGUUGCAUUAUGUUACGUUUCUGUAAAACACUUUCUAUGGACCUUGCUCAUCCUAUUCCAAAGAAACCAACGCCUCUUACUUCUUACCCUAAGCCCAAGCAGAGCCUUCCCAGCAGGGAUGGAGAAUCACUCAAGUUCAUUGCAAAGGGAAUUGCAAUGCAACGGUUAGAUAUACAGAUGCAGGGGUGGGAAGAUUCUUGAAAGCUUGUGCAUGCGAGCAAUCCCAGUAUAGAGAGACGGGCAGUCAGAGAUAGAGGGGCACACAGCAGAGGGUCGAGCGCAGUGCUUGAAAACACAGCUAAAUCCCCUCGAAAAAUCCUUAGGGGGAAAACACCCCCAGCAAGUCUAAGAAACAGGAGGCUGUUUGUCCCUGAUCACAGAGAGUUCAAUCAGUAAGUGAUAGAAAAACUGAGUUAGUAUUGCCACUGGGAAGCCAGAGUCCAGACUCUCUAGGAAAGCAAUGUUAACCCCUCAUUGGCCCAGCAUGGUUAACAGCAUGGUCAUCACCCCUCCACUCCACCUUCAGUGCCUUGAAUAAAGGAUGCUCCAAGGUCAAAACUUGUAGGAAGAAUAAAUGAAAUCUAUAACUAAUGUAUUCAAAUAUGCUCACAGACUUGAAGAAGGGCAGACAGUCAAGGUGUGAUUGGCUUCGCUGGUUGGUAGGAAAUCUCACCUCCCCAGGCUAAGCUGUGGAGCCUGAACACAAUCUCUCUAUGGCUCAAGAUGAAGCCUAUGGUGAAUCAUGACUGCAAGCUCUUUCUCAGCUUUCCUGUAAAAUUAACUUCAGUUGCGGGAGAAGACAUGUGAAUAUUGAAUUUCUAUGACUCUCCAUUGUAUUCGCUAUCCGUUCAUUUCUUAAUCAAUUUUAUUUAUUUAUCGAGUGUUGGGGAUCAAACUGAGAACUGUGGGUACCAGGCAAGCACUCCACUAGCACCGAGCCACACCCCCAACUCCAUUUUGAAAUUGUUUCCAUCAGUUCUUCCCUGUUUCAAAAUCUAUGCUAAAGUUCUCAAAGCGUUUACCUCCAUUUAAUUUGAUAAGGUGCAGUAGCCCUCCUUGAAACUAAGAAAGCAUCCCAAAGGCUGGCUCGGGUUGACUGGGUAGACCAGUUAAAUAUUUUCAAGGAAGUACUUCAGAGAUUAACUGCUCCUCAAAAACAAGCAUGCCCCCCCCCCCUUUAGUCCUCUCUUGUUCUUUUGAUAAAGUACCUUUCUCAAAGUCAGAAGUAUAGAGACAGCUGAAACUCCGACACCACUCAGAAUUUAACCUCCCUGACAUUUUCCAAUCCUUGCUUCUAAUGUUUAUUCAAAGAGCUAUUAUGAGUGUAGUAGGGCCCAAGACCCCGCCUCAUUAAAGGUAAUUUAGAUGCCUCUCGCCACAUGCAAGAGCAAUGUGAUGCUUUGAGCAUCUGCUCACAUCCCAACAUUGACUUCAUCUCCUGACACACUCAAAAGAAUCUCUUGGAGUUAGUAAUGAACAUGGGGAUGUAACAUCUCCAUCAGUUGGUUGAGGUCCCUCUUCUGGUUCUGAGUAGCUCAUGAACAUCCUAUUUUGGGUUCUUUCCUAGUCAGGGUUUAUAUUGCUGUGAUAAAAUACCAUGACCAAAAGCAACUUGGCGUGGAGAUGGUUUAUUUGACUUAUACUUCUGUAUCAUUGUUCAUCACUGGAGGAAGUCAGGACAGACACUCAGACAGGGCAGGAAUCUGGAGUCAAGAGCUGACGCAGAGACCGUGGAGAAGUGCUGCAUCCUGGUUUGUUCCACAUGGCUGAGCGCCUGCCUUUUUAUAGAACCCCAGACUGCCUGCCCAGGGAUGGCACCAACCACAGCUGGCUGCCCCACCCCCACCCCAAUACAUCACUAAUUAAGAAAAUGCCCUACAGGCUUGCCUACAGCCUGCUUGUAUGGAGGCAUUUUCUCAAUCUAGAUUCCCUCGUCUCAGAUGACUAUAGCCUGGGUCAAGUUGACAUCAAUCUAGCUGGCACAGGUUGUCAACAAGCCAAGCUCUGCCUUUCCUGGCAGUGCCAGAUCAAGGUCUACUCACAGGCUCCUAAAUCUAUCACAGCCUCUUCUUCCUCUGUCUUCCUAUCCCUGGGCCCUUGGUUUAUCAGCCUUCUGAACAAAUCUCAAUUCAUGUAUACACUCAAGGCCACCUCUGACCCUCCCCAAAGCAAACACCUAUAGCAGGUGUCUGUUCAGGACCCUGUGGUGAGUUCACAGUGAUUCUGAUUACUGUGUGUUUUAUUAUGGAGGCUUAGCUAUGUUUGGAAAGCAUUUGCAAGGAAGUGGGCCAUUAAGCUGCUGAAUUAAGCACGGGACACUCUUUUCUGCUCAAAAUGUAAUACAAAGUUAUUUUCAAAGACUAGAAACAAAGAGGCAUUAGAGUUAGCUGCUUGGUUCUGUUCCCUUUUCCUUUUUAAUUAUAAGUACAGAAGGAAAAAAAGAAUAGAUUUUCCAGAUACAUCUCGAAACUGAUUUAAUGCAACGUGCUUGUUAUCAAAGCAAACUCUGUGCUUACCCUGAAGAUAUUUGAAUAAAUAAGUAACUGAACCAGUGAGCUGGUUUGGGAAACAAACCAGUAUAAUCUCACAGAUUCUUCAUGAAAUUAUGGCACUCACCAGUAAAUUUAAACUAAGUAGAUUAAUUCUUCUAGAUACCUGUUUGCAACAUCUCUUUUCUAAUUUUUUUUCUUUAAUUCCCUUAAAACUCAGGUUUGAGAGCUCAGUAAUUUGUGCCAUUUGUAGCUCCAAGAUGUGGCCACACAGCUCUGGAAUUCUGUGCACUGAUGCAUUAGAAGUGGGAAAGAAAGCAAUAUUAUUCUCCCAGGAAGAAAGUCUGACUCUACAGAGAUGCAAACUCAAGAGGGUUCAGCUCCAGGUGGAACAGGAAUAUACCCAUUUCCUGGACUCACUAGUGAAGAGCUGUCAGUCUUUGAGGCCCUUUGGGCAGGAAGCUAGACAUGCUGAGGACAAUGGGAACGGGGUGGGGCAUUCUCUUCCUCUCUCUCUCCCUCUCUCUCUCUCUCUCUCCCUCCCUCUCUCUCUCUCUCUCUCUCUCUCUCUCUCUUUGUGUGUGUGUGUGUGUGUGUGUGCCAAUCUCUAUGAGUGUGUGCAUCUCUAUGUGUGUGUAUGCAUGCUUCAUUCAUAUGCCUCAAACGUGCACCUCUUAUGUGUGCCUCAUACCUGUACCUCAUGUGUAUGCCCCAAGCGUGUGCAGGUACUUGAAGAGGCCAAAAGAGGGUGUCUGUUCUCCUGGAGCUAAGCUGGUGUUACCAGCACUUAUGAGCCACCUGACAUGGGUGCUGGGAACCAGACUCAGGUCCUCUGGAAAAGUAGCAAGUGGUCUUAACUACUGAGCCUUCCCUCCCACCCCAGGCCCAAGCAUUAAAGAUGGGACAGUGUCUUCUGAAGGUGGCAUGUUGCAGCAUCAUUGCCAAAGAGAAACCAAGCCAGACACUGGUGGGAAAUGGAAGCUAAACAGAUUUUAGCCGUUGAGAGACCACAACCAGAGCAGAAUUCAGCUCCAUGGAAGCAAAAGACAGAGAUCUUUCAAACACUGGGGUGUGCCACGGGGGCCUAAUGGAUGAGACUGAGUCAUGUCUGUUAACUGAUAACUGUUAGGCUCCUAGAGUCCUACAGAGAUGGAGACAGGAGCCCCACCCUUGAUGCCCUCAUUUCACAGGGAUGUUCCCCCAGGUCCUUGAGAUAUACAUCAAAGACAGCAAGGAACCUCAGAGCCCUUGACUUUCCUAGGGUAAAUGUUCCAAUCAAUGGAAGCUUGGGGAUCUAUUAUCAGCUGUCGGUGGCUUUGUACUUUCUCAGGGAGACAUUUUAAGGGACCUCUGUUGUUUUUCCUUUUUCUGGAGACAAAGCUUAGAGCAUCUGUGUUUAUUCAAGCCCGUCGGGUGUAGGAGGCAGAUAGUUUUAUUAGAGCUGCAAGAUGCAGUUCUUCACGCCAAGGUCAAGGCCCUGUGAGAUGGAUGCUCAGGAGAAUCUGGGGAGAGCUUAGUUGGAAAUUUCCAUCCACGGAAAGCAGUGGGGAAAGAGGGGAUCGAUGUCAGAAGACCUUGGCCCCAGCCAUCCCCUGAGGCAGAGCCUGUGCUUCUGGUGCUGACCCUGGAGCCUUCUGUUGUAAUGAGAAAAAUGCAUUGUGUCAAGCAUUUGUUCAGUGAAUUGGUUUUCUGUUGUUUCAUUUGUCUUGUUUUAAGACAGUACUGGGGGUAUCAGACCCAGGGCCAUGUGCUUGCCAGGCAAGAGUUCUACCUCUGAGCUGUGACUCCAGCAAUGACUUGGUUUAAGGAUGCAAUGUCAGCCCAUCACAUCAAAUUUUUUUUCCUUUGUGCGAUCAAACAUUGUCUCAUGAUGAGGAGUUGGAAUUUUAGAGCUACCUAUCCAGCUUUAUACUGAUCUUUAUCAACCUCGUGCCCGCUGCAUCAAGGAUCAAAAGUUGUAAAAUGUGUAUGGUUUUACAUGAAAGCCAGUUUUCUUUCCUGGGUGGCUGAGGAAUAAGAAGUUGAAACAAUGUAGCCCAGGAAGGCCCCAAAUUCACUGCAUAGCCAAGGAUAAUCUUGUCAACCUGCCAAGUACUUGAAUUAAAAGUGAGUACCAUCAUGCCCAGCAAAAGUUACAGUUUUAUACAAUGUAGCUACCAAUGUACAAAAAUUAUACUUGCUCACCCAUCCAUUGAUCUUUGUAGCUUAGCUCUGUUUGUUUUCCAGAGUCUCACUACAUAAUCCAACCUAGCCUUAAAUUCUUGAUCUGCUGGCCUCAGCUGCCCAGAUGUUGAGAUUACAGAUGUGUGUAUGCCAUGAUACCUAGCUUCUACUUCAUUUUUUAAAGAAAGCACAUUGAGGAUUUGUGUCUCCAUUUGUCUCCUCUUCUCCUUCCCCUUUGCCUUCCUUCCCCUUCAUCUUCAUCUUUCUCCUUUUCAUGAGACACCAUAAUUUUCAGGAGUUACAAAACCAUGACCAGCCCCACCUUACAACUGGUUUAUCAAAUGAAGUUUUGUUGUCAUACAGCCAAAUACACUCAUUUAUGGACCACCCGUCCCUAGCUGCUAUGGCUGAUUUUAUCCCCACAGACAGCAGAAGCCUGAAAAGCAGGAAGUGCUGGCCACCAGGCCCUAGGCAGAAAACGGUCGGUCGCUGAUCUGCUUCAUGAGUCUACUGGCCUAUUCUGUUCUUCACUAAACUUAUCUUUCCUGUCUCCUUGGAUCAUAAAGCUAGAAGCUGUAACAGGGUAACAGGAUCCACAUUACUUCCUCCAUAUCUCAAGAAACUUUUCAUUCAACCUGAAAAAAAAAUACCAAUGUUUUCAUCCCCACCCUCCCCCUCCAACCCCCCCCCCCCCCCGCUGAGCCUCAAGGAGACAGAUCAGAGCUACCAGCUACUCAAGUUUAUAUACAUAAUAUUUAUAUAAUAAAUGAUCGGGUUUAUAGUAAUUCUGGUAUCAUUAUAUCUAACAAAGCUGUUGUCGAUUAAUUUAGAAGAAAUUGGUAGAUAAGUCCUGAUUUCGCUAAGGGAACAGUGAUCAGAUAUUUCUUUCUCUGGAAACAACAACAACAACAACAACAUAGCCUUUUUUAUGUACUUGUCCUUUUCAUGAAAGCUGUCCCUGCUUUCCCUCAGCAAAGAAAUCAAAGGUCUUAUCCCAAAGGGUCAAAAACAGGCCUUUAGUUUGUGAAAUUAUUACUGUGGUGCCCUGGGGUGAAGAAAUGGCAAACGUUUAAAAGCAUUUAAGCUCACAGGCAAAUGUUAGAGCUCUAGACUCUUCCCAUUUUCCUCUUCCAAGUUCAACACAUUAAACUGCAUCCGUCACUGUGUACCCCUUAGGGCCAUCCUGAUCAUUACAAUAGCAACAAGAGGAGGAUGGAGAGGCGGUGUUGGUGAGGAUGCAGAGACAUCCCAGGUGCUGUGUGCUCUCAGGGGAAAUAUAAAACUGGGAAGCCGCUGUGAAAAACAGCCGAGUGUUCCCCCCUCCCAAAAAAGAAAUCUAGAACUCCCAUAUGACUCAACAGUUCACCUCUGCAUAUAUACUGAAGGGAACAGAAAGCAGAAAGAAGAGAACAUAUAUGAUCAUCUGUGUUCACAGAAGUGUCAUUCACGUAAGAUGGAAGUAAUGAAGGUCUACCCAUGGGUGGGUGAUAAAACCAAACAUGUCAUCCAACAGCGGACUCUUACUCAGCCUUCAAAAGGAAGGAAAUUGUGAAGCACUGUACAGUGUGGGUGACCACUGAGAACGUUAGGCUUAAGUGACUAAGGGACACACACAGACACACACACACACUGAAGUACUUUGAGUGCCUGGAAUAGGGAGAUGUGGGAGGCAGUGCUGACCUGUAACCGACAAGAGAGGGGAGUGUUAAUGCUGAGUGGAUACAGAAUUUCAGUCUUGCAGGGCAUAAGGGCACUGGAGAUGCUUGCACAGCAUCGGCCGUGUGGAUGUGUUUAACAGCACUGAAAGGCAUCAUGAGUUAAUAUUAAGGUGAGAGACUGGAGGGAUGGCUGGGUAGUUACAAGCACCUGCUACUGUCACAGAGGACCUGGGUUUGGUUUCCUACACUGACCUGACAGUUCACAACCUCCUAGAACUCCAGUUCUAAAGGAUGUGACGCCCUCUUCUGGCCUUUGAGAGUUCCUCCAUGCACAGGGUGCACAUAGCCCCAUGAAUGCACACACCAUGUACAUGCAUUUAAAAGAAAAAUAAAUCUUUAAAACAUAUUAAGAUCAGCAGUUUAUGUUUCCUGUAUCUUAAUCACAACUUUAAAGUCUCUGCAGAUGGCAUCUCUGAACUGACCAUUCUGAUGCGUAUUACAGAGUCUAGGCAAAGUUAUAUAUGGUCCCCAAUAUCAGGGCCUCAGAGCAGUUAGCUUAUCUAGCUGUCUCUAUGGUGUAGUGGGAUGCUCUAGUAGAGGAAGUCAAGAAAGUGAUGGACAACCCCCCUUCCCCCCAUUGCUUGCUCCUAUGCUAUUGUGCAGACAGAGCUGCAGGGAAGGCAUUCUAUUAACCUGAUAAUACAAGUUAGCACAGACCCUUGGAUGAGUUUCUCCAGCAGGAAUAAGAAGGGUUGAGAGUUAAGUUUGCUUCUGCACAGCCCUGAAGUCAGGUAGAUUCCCAUCGGAGAAGGCUUGUUCAUUCCCUCCCUCACUCCAGCCCAGACUGUGCCCAGACUCAGAAUCUGAAUUCUAGAUCACCGACUUGACUCAGGCCUCCUUUCCUCAGAUCAAUGGGGAGUCCAUCACUAGAACCUGAAAGCUACCAGGCGGUAUUGUGGAAUUUAGGGACACUUUUCAUGUCUUAAAACAACAACAACAACACAACAAUCCAAGUAAAUGAAGGAAAAUGAUAUCUCUUAUUUUCAUUGGUGAAUCCUGAUGGGUUCCACCUUGCACUGAUGUCACUGAAGUCAGGGUAGCUCACUUAUGCCUCCCUACACUGACCUUAGAAGUGGCACACAGAUAUCCA